rnacentral:rRNA from 1 species
AUGAACGCUGGCGGCGUGCCUAAUCCAUGCAAGUCGAGCGAACAGACGAGGAGCUUGCUCCUCUGACGUUAGCGGCGGACGGGUGAGUAACACGUGGAUAACCUACCUAUAAGACUGGGAUAACUUCGGGAAACCGGAGCUAAUACCGGAUAAUAUAUUGAACCGCAUGGUUCAAUAGUGAAAGACGGUUUUGCUGUCACUUAUAGAUGGAUCCGCGCCGCAUUAGCUAGUUGGUAAGGUAACGGCUUACCAAGGCAACGAUGCGUAGCCGACCUGAGAGGGAGAUCGGCCACACUGGAACUGAGACACGGUCCAGACUCCUACGGGAGGCAGCAGUAGGGAAUCUUCCGCAAUGGGCGAAAGCCUGACGGAGCAACGCGGCGUGAGUGAUGAAGGUCUUCGGAUCGUAAAACUCUGUUAUUAGGGAAGAACAAAUGUGUAAGUAACUAUGCACGUCUUGACGGUACCUAAUCAGAAAGCCACGGCUAACUACGUG